rnacentral:rRNA from 1 species
CUACGGGAGGCAGCAGKGGGGAAUAUUGCACAAUGGGGGAAACCCUGAUGCAGCGACGCCGCGUGAGCGAAGAAGGUUUUCGGAUCGUAAAGCUCUGUCCUCGGAGAAGAUAAUGACGGUAUCCGAGGAGGAAGCCCCGGCUAACUACGUGCCAGCAGCCGCGGUAAUACGUAGGGGGCGAGCGUUGUCCGGAAUUACUGGGCGUAAAGAGUACGUAGGUGGUUUGAUAAGUCAGGUGUAAAAGGCAAUGGCUCAACCAUUGUAAGCAUUUGAAACUGUCAAACUUGAGUACAGGAGAGGUAAGUGGAAUUCCUAGUGUAGCGGUGAAAUGCGUAGAUAUUAGGAGGAACACCAGUGGCGAAGGCGACUUACUGGACUGUAACUGACACUGAGGUACGAAAGCGUGG